UCCAGACUCCUACGGGAGGCAGCAGUGGGGAAUAUUGCACAAUGGGGGAAACCCUGAUGCAGCGACGCCGCGCGAGCGAAGAAGUAUUUCGGUAUGUAAAGCUCUAUCAGCAGGGAAGAAAAUGACGGUACCUGACUAAGAAGCCCCGGCUAACUACGUGCCAGCAGCCGCGGUAAUACGUAGGGGGCGAGCGUUAUCCGGAUUCACUGGGUGUAAAGGGAGCGUAGACGGCCAUGCAAGCCAGGGGUGAAAGCCCGGGGCCCAACCCCGGGACUGCUCUGGAAACUGCGUCGCUGGAGUGCGGGAGGGGCAGGCGGAAUUCCUGGUGUAGCGGUGAAAUGCGUAGAUAUCAGGAGGAACACCGGCGGCGAAGGCGGCCUGCUGGACCGUGACUGACGUUGAGGCUCGAGAGCGUGGGGAGCAAACAGGAUUAGAUACCCGAGUA
rnacentral:rRNA from 1 species